rnacentral:rRNA from 1 species
AGAGUUUGAUCAUGGCUCAGGACGAACGCUGGCGGUGUGCUUCACACAUGCAAGUCGAACGGGGUAGCAAUACCCAGUGGCGGACGGGUGAGUAACACGUAGGAAUCUGCCUUCAAGAGGGGAAUAACUGACCGAAAGGUUGGCUAAUACCGCAUAAGCCGAGAGGUAAAAGGAGAAAUCCGCUUGAAGAUGAGCCUGCG